UAUUGGUGUCGGGUACGCAGCAGCACGUC
rnacentral:sRNA from 1 species